rnacentral:lncRNA from 1 species
CAAACCGGAUGUGACGUGUGCCAGUGGCGUACUCCCUGCCCCCAGAUAGGUACUUGUACGCCUAGGGAAAGACGCUGCUAGGUGCUGCUGCUAAAUCCCUGUGGUUUCUGCCAGCCACAUGCGGCCAUUGCGGGCUCACGCAGGUUCGUUCGCGUGGUCUUGUUACGCCUCGCUGGAUCGUGUUCAGUCAUGCCGUCCUUGCGCGGCGUGAUUGUCGGUGAGUCAGGUUAAAUUCUUAAAUAGGUCGCGCCUGCGCCUAAUUGAGUCUAUAAAAGCCUGCACAUUCAGUUUUGCUAGCUACAAUGCAGUGCGGCUGGCGUGAGCUGUCUCCACGAUGCGCUUCGAUCGUGUCGAUUUCGCCGUUCUGUAUGUUGGCGUUAACGACCUUGAAUGCAACAUGGAUCCACAAGAAAUGUGCGACAACAUCAAGGCCUUGAUUGUUCAACGAGACGGCCCCCGUCGUGCUGGUUUUCAAGGUGCUCCCUCGCUGCCUAGAAGAUGCUGAUGCGGAAUAGAAAAUGCAAAAACGUCGCUUGCUCAACCGCAAAUUGACGGCUACGCUGAAGCGCAUGCCGUGUCUGCGGAAUUUGAACCCCGAGCUUUCCAGAGUUCCUUGGAAAAUCCUCCCAUGCACCUGCCAUGUACAUUGCCCUCCUCCUCGAUGUGGCGUGCAAGAUGGCAGCAGCAGCUGUGGGAACAGUUGAAGAGGCGAAGAAAGGUCCACUUUAUAAUAGGUUGUAUGUAAAUAAAACUGAUCGACCUCAA